rnacentral:rRNA from 1 species
AUUGCCCUAGUAACGGCGAGUGAAGCGGCAACAGCUCAAAUUUGAAAUCUGGCGCAAGCCCGAGUUGUAAUUUGUAGAGGAUGUUUCUGGCGACGUGCCUUCCGAGUUCCCUGGAACGGGACGCCAUAGAGGGUGAGAGCCCCGUACGGUUGGAUGCCUAGCCUCUGUGAAACUCCUUCGACGAGUCGAGUAGUUUGGGAAUGCUGCUCUAAAUGGGAGGUAUACGUCUUCUAAAGCUAAAUACCGGCCAGAGACCGAUAGCGCACAAGUAGAGUGAUCGAAAGAUGAAAAGCACUUUGAAAAGAGGGUUAAAAAGUACGUGAAAUUGUUGAAAGGGAAGCGUUCAUGACCAGACUUGGGCAGGUUGAUCAUCCGUGGUUCUCCGCGGUGCACUCUGCCUGCCCAGGCCAGCAUCAGUUCGUCUCGGGGGAUAAAGGCUCUGGGAAUGUGGCUCCUUCGGGAGUGUUAUAGCCCACUGCGUAAUACCCUGGGAUGGACUGAGGUUCGCGCUCUGCAAGGAUGCUGGCGUAAUGGUCAUCAACGACCCGUCUUGAAACACGGACCAAGGAGUCGUCUUCGUAUGCGAGUGUUCGGGUGUCAAACCCCUACGCGUAAUGAAAGUGAACGUAGGAGAGAGCUUCGGCGCAUCUCCGACCGAUCCUGAUGUUCUCGGAUGGAUUUGAGUAAGAGCAUACGGGGCCGGACCCGAAAGAAGGUGAACUAUGCCUGUAUAGGGUGAAGCCAGAGGAAACUCUGGUGGAGGCUCGCAGCGGUUCUSACGUGCAAAUCGAUCGUCAAAUAUGGGCAUGGGGGCGAAAGA